GUUGCAUCAGGUGAAAUGAUGGUAAUGGUCAAGUCCACUCCUAACUCGGCAUGGAUUGGAGUUAGCUUUGGCCAGCCCUUCAUAUCAGUGGAGUUGUAGAGCUGGGCUCCAAUGUCUAGGUAAAUCCUCACCCAGCCCUCCCUCCCUCGUGUGGUAGCUGUGACCUAGUGUGAUGAUUGAUACCAGUUGUCAACUUGAUAAGAUGCAGAAUCAGCUCAGAGAUAGCCCUGGACUUGCGUGUGAGGGGAUUUCUAGGUUUGAUCAUUGAGCUGGGACGACCCACCCUAAAUGUGAGUUGUACCAUUCCAUGAGUUGAAAUCCUGAGCUGAGUCAAAGGAAAGGAAGCUGAGUACCAGUACUGAAUGUGACUAGCUGCCUCUCACUCUGGCUGCUGUGAUGGAAGAAUAUUAUCUAAAAUCAUCUGGUUACAAUGAGGCAGAAAAGAGGAAUAGACGUUUGAAAAGAGCAAGCUGAGGAUUGCCACAUUGUCCUGCAGAGAAUCUGGAAAUGUUGGUGCACAUCCAUCUGGCAAUUGGAGGAUUUGUUGGAGUGUGGGAAACUUCAGAGGUUAUUUUCAGGUAUAAAACAUUAAGGAACUACUUAAGAAGAGGUCAUGAAGGUGAAUUCCUGGAUAUUAUAAACAGACUUUUGAGAGCUGGGCGUGCUGGUACAUAUCUAAAAUCUUAACAUCUAGGAAGUAGAGGCAGGAGGAACAGGAGUUCAAGGCCAACCUCAACUACACAGGGAAUUCAAAGCCAGCAUGAGGCCUUGAAUUUGUGUCAAAAACCAAAACAAAACCAACAUUAAUAAAUAAAACAUGG
rnacentral:lncRNA from 1 species